rnacentral:rRNA from 1 species
AUGGGUUUAAUCACACAGUCAGAAUUUACCAAGAUUAAUAAAAUAGUUCCUGCUUGUGAAUUUGUUGUCAAGCUGUGCGGUACCUCUGGCACUGUAUCUUGCUUUGCUGCCUAUUUUGUUUGCAAUACAAUAUUCAGUUCCAUCAGGUUGAUAAUCGGGAACAAAAAUUAUUAUGACGUCAGGAAGCCAUGCGUGGGGAGCCUAUGCUAUGAUUUUUAUAACUUGGAGAAGUUUCUCAAUCUGAAAUCUGUCAGACAGAGCCUAGGCGUUGGAGACAUAGAGUUUGUUUCCUGCAGCCCGACCGUCUAUCAGGCUAUGCUCUUAGAUUGGAUGAGGAACCUUGAAGUUGGGAUCCCUGAACUCCUUGAGAACGAUAUCAAAGUGCUGAUUUAUGCUGGAGAGUAUGAUCUCAUAUGCAACUGGCUAGGAAACUCAAGAUGCGUAGACUCUAUGGAAUGGUCUGGAAAGAAAGCCUUCAUGUCCUCGGUGGAGAAACCCUUCACGGUUGAUGGAAAAGAAGCCGACAUUCUAAAAAGCCACGGCCCUUUGAGUUUUUUUGAAGGUCCACGAUUCUGGUCACAUGGUACCCAUGGAUCAACUGAAGGCCGCCUUGGAGAUGCUCAAGAGGUGGAUGUCAGGAAACCUUUCAGACGCCUCCUCGAGCUCUCAGAGGCUCGACUUCGCCAUAUAAUCCAUCCUUGCGCUGGCUACUAG